rnacentral:rRNA from 1 species
CUACGGGGGGCUCCAGUGGGGAAUAUUGGACAAUGGGGGCAACCCUGAUCCAGCCAUGCCGCGUGUGUGAAGAAGGCCUUUUGGUUGUAAAGCACUUUAAGCGAGGAGGAGGCUACUGGUACUAAUAUUACCAGCUAGUGGACGUUACUCGCAGAAUAAGCACCGGCUAACUCUGUGCCAGCAGCCGCGGUAAUACAGAGGGUGCGAGCGUUAAUCGGAAUUACUGGGCGUAAAGCGCGCGUAGGCGGUUUGUUAAGUCGGAUGUGAAAUCCCCGGGCUCAACCUGGGAAUUGCAUUCGAUACUGGCAAGCUAGAGUAUGGGAGAGGAAGGUAGAAUUCCAGGUGUAGCGGUGAAAUGCGUAGAGAUCUGGAGGAAUACCGAUGGCGAAGGCAGCCUUCUGGCCUAAUACUGACGCUGAGGUGCGAAAGCAUGGGGAGCAAACAGGAUUAGAUACCCGAGUAGUC